CAGUCGCCGCGGUAAUACGGAAGGUGCAAGCGUUAAUCGGAAUUACUGGGCGUAAAGCGUGCGUAGGCGGUUCGUUAAGUCUGUUGUGAAAGCCCCGGGCUCAACCUGGGAAUGGCAAUGGAUACUGGCGAGCUAGAGUGUGUCAGAGGAUGGUGGAAUUCCCGGUGUAGCGGUGAAAUGCGUAGAGAUCGGGAGGAACAUCAGUGGCGAAGGCGGCCAUCUGGGACAACACUGACGCUGAGGCACGAAAGCGUGGGGAGCAAACAGGAUUAGAUACCCCGGUAGUCCCUGUCUCUUAUAC
rnacentral:rRNA from 1 species